UACGUAGGGGGGCGAGCGUUGUCCGGAAUCAUUGGGCGUAAAGCGCGUGUAGGCGGCUCGGUAAGUCCGGUGUGAAACCUUGGGGCUCAACCCCAAGCCUGCACUGGAUACUGUCGAGCUUGAGUCCGGGAGGGGAGAGCGGAAGUUCCUAGUGUAGCGGUGAAAUGCGCAGAUAUCAGGAGGAACACCGGUGGCGAAGGCGGGUCUCUGGGCAGUAACUGACGCUGAGGAGCGAAAGCGUGGGUAGCAAACAGGAU
rnacentral:rRNA from 1 species